UAAGGUUACUUGUUUUAUAGUUUUAUGAAAUGACCCCUUGAUUCAGGCUUUUGAUACAUUAAGAUUUUAAAACGCACGAUAUGUGCAAGGAGGUUUCAUAUUAUGAAACAAGGUACUGUUAAAUGGUUCAACGCUGAUAAAGGUUACGGUUUUAUCACUACUGAAGACGGUGACGUAUUCGUUCACUUCUCAGCUAUCAACAAAGAAGGUUUCAAGACUCUAGAAGAAGGCGAAAAGGUUACAUUGGACGUUGAAGACGGCGACCGUGGACCACAAGCUGCUAACGUUACUCCUGCAUAAGGAUAACCUCUUAGUUAACUUUUAGUUUAAAAAGAGAUCAAAAACACCCGAGAUUUUCUCGGGUGUUUUUUU
rnacentral:sRNA from 1 species